rnacentral:rRNA from 1 species
UGCUCUCGGGUGACGAGUGGCGGACGGGUGAGUAAUGUCUGGGAAACUGCCUGAUGGAGGGGGAUAACUACUGGAAACGGUAGCUAAUACCGCAUAACGUCGCAAGACCAAAGAGGGGGACCUUCGGGCCUCUUGCCAUCAGAUGUGCCCAGAUGGGAUUAGCUAGUAGGUGGGGUAACGGCUCACCUAGGCGACGAUCCCUAGCUGGUCUGAGAGGAUGACCAGCCACACUGGAACUGAGACACGGUCCAGACUCCUACGGGAGGCAGCAGUGGGGAAUAUUGCACAAUGGGCGCAAGCCUGAUGCAGCCAUGCCGCGUGUAUGAAGAAGGCCUUCGGGUUGUAAAGUACUUUCAGCGGGGAGGAAGGUGUUGUGGUUAAUAACCGCAGCAAUUGACGUUACCCGCAGAAGAAGCACCGGCUAACUCCGUGCCAGCAGCCGCGGUAAUACGGAGGGUGCAAGCGUUAAUCGGAAUUACUGGGCGUAAAGCGCACGCAGGCGGUCUGUCAAGUCGGAUGUGAAAUCCCCGGGCUCAACCUGGGAACUGCAUUCGAAACUGGCAGGCUAGAGUCUUGUAGAGGGGGGUAGAAUUCCAGGUGUAGCGGUGAAAUGCGUAGAGAUCUGGAGGAAUACCGGUGGCGAAGGCGGCCCCCUGGACAAGACUGACGCUCAGGUGCGAAAGCGUGGGGAGCAAACAGGAUUAGAU